UACGGAGGGUGCAAGCGUUAUCCGGAUUUACUGGGUUUAAAGGGUGCGUAGGCGGAUAGGUAAGUCAGUGGUGAAAUCCCCGAGCUCAACUUGGGAACUGCCGUUGAUACUAUUUAUCUUGAAUACCGUGGAGGUGAGCGGAAUAUGUCAUGUAGCGGUGAAAAGCUUAGAUAUGACAUAGAACAACGAUUGCGAAGGCAGCUCACUACGCGGUCAUUGACGGUGAGGCACGAAAGCGUGGGGAUGAAACAGG
rnacentral:rRNA from 1 species